GAUGAACGCUGGCGGCGUGCCUAAUACAUGCAAGUCGAGCGAACGGACGAGAAGCUUGCUUCUCUGAUGUUAGCGGCGGACGGGUGAGUAACACGUGGAUAACCUACCUAUAAGACUGGGAUAACUUCGGGAAACCGGAGCUAAUACCGGAUGAUAUUUUGAACCGCAUGGUUCAAAAGUGAAAGACGGUCUUGCUGUCACUUAUAGAUGGAUCCGCGCUGCAUUAGCUAGUUGGUAAGGUAACGGCUUACCAAGGCAACGAUGCAUAGCCGACCUGAGAGGGGGAUCGGCCACACUGGAACUGAGACACGGUCCAGACUCCUACGGGAGGCAGCAGUAGGGAAUCUUCCGCAAUGGGCGAAAGCCUGACGGAGCAACGCCGCGUGAGUGAGGAAGGUCUUCGGAUCGUAAAACUCUGUUAUUAGGGAAGAACAUAUGUGUAAGUAACUGUGCACAUCUUGACGGUACCUAAUCAGAAAGCCACGGCUAACUACGU
rnacentral:rRNA from 1 species